GAAGUACAAAAGAAUUCACCUUAAAUUAAAUAUAAGUGUAAAGUGUAUGUAAAUAUAUGGCAUGAAGCAUAUGGAGAUGGUAAGAAUGACAAUUUGGGUUUCGUUGGACUUUUUCUCAUUGGUAUAAGUAUAAAUGUUUGCAUAUGUAUAUUGAAAAUAACUUGCGAUGGAGAUUGAUAUUGUGUAAAUUGGAGAUUGAAAUAUUUGCAGUUGGAAACUCCUCUGCAUAUGUCUCUGGAAUUUUUU
rnacentral:lncRNA from 1 species